AUUAUAGAAUCAUUUACCGUUCACUUACCAUUGUGAAAUUUAUGAAAAUAACCUAUAGAGACAAUAAUAUCAUACAGAUCAUAACUUCAUGUACAAUUAGUAACAUAGAACAUAUCAUAAAUUCAUAUUCAUUAACAAUAAACCAAAUCAUAACCGUUUCUCGUUUCACCAGCCUACUAGUAUUCAUGGGGGUUCGUAGGGGUGUCCUCGCUACACGUGAACCAUUUCCCUUAACAAUCUCAAUUACAGGGCCGUCCCCAUACCAUGUCCGUUAUGAGCACCAAAGACAUUAAACCUCAAUAUCCCAUCUGAUAUGAGGGUGAAGCGGGCCGUCUCCAUAUCCCGUCAGGUAUGAG
rnacentral:lncRNA from 1 species